GCGUGGCGAGCGUCCCGGCGUAAGCACCCGCCGGUACGGGCCCGGCCCGCACACCCCUCGGGGUGUGCGGGCCGGUUCGCGUUCCGGGGCCGCGGUC
rnacentral:tRNA from 1 species